CCUACGGGAGGCAGCAGUGGGGAAUAUUGGGCAAUGGGCGCAAGCCUGACCCAGCAACGCCGCGUGAAGGAAGAAGGCUUUCGGGUUGUAAACCUCUUUUCUCAGGGACGAAGCAAGUGACGGUACCUGAGGAAUAAGCCACGGCUAACUACGUGCCAGCAGCCGCGGUAAUACGUCGGUGGCAAGCGUUAUCCGGAUUUACUGGGUGUAAAGGGCGUGUAGGCGGGACUGCAAGUCAGAUGUGAAAAGCACGGGCUCAAACUGUGGCCUGCAUUUGAAACUGUAGUUCUUGAGUACUGGAGAGGCAGGCGGAAUGCCUAGUGUAGCGGUGAAAUGCGUAGAUAUUAGGAGGAACACCAGUGGCGAAGGCGGUGUGCUGGACAGCAACUGACGCUGAGGCGCGAAAGCGUGGGGAGCAAACAGGAUUAGAUACCCGGGUAGUC
rnacentral:rRNA from 1 species